CACACGCGUAUAAGAAUCGCAGAUUGGGUGACCCACUUUGCUUUGCUUUGGACCAAAGCUCAAUUCUCAUUCGUACCCUUUCUGUCUGUCUGUAUUCUAUUUAAUCUAUCUUUCUCUCUCCCCUUAUCUGAAAACCAAUACCCAUAAUUUUCCAGCAACUUCCUUUUCUUCCAAUAUUCAGUCUUCCACGGUAUUUAUUCACCAAAGAGGCAAAAAAGCAGAGAACAAAGAGAAGAAGAGCAUUACACAAUAGAAAGAGUGUCUACGUAUUUGCUAAAGAGUAUCCUGUAAUGCUGGUUUCUGAACAGGCAACUAUGGGAAUCACACUGUACCAAAACCAUGCUGAGCAGCUGCUAAAGGAUUAUGUACUUGCAGAUUCAUUUAUACCUUGUACUUCCAUCAUUGGUGGAAUUUUUGCUUCCAAAGUGGUCUAUGAUCUUACCCAGACGAUCAGUGCUAUUUACUUCAAGAGCUAUGCCAGCCUUUCAAAAAUGCAGCGUGUUGAGUGGAAUAACAGGGCCAUAUCGACUCUUCAUGCCAUUUUUAUCACAACUAUAUCAUUAUACUUUGUGUUCUGGUCAGAUCUCUAUUCUGACCAAUUUGCUGGCCUUAUUACACUUCGAUGUUCUCAACUGUCCACAUUUGCCUUGGGGGUUUCGGUUGGUUACUUCCUGGCUGACCUUGGGAUGAUCUUAUGGUUUUAUCCUGCUCUUGGUGGAUUUGAGUAUGUGAUUCAUCAUCUUCUUUCAAUAGCAGCAGUAGCAUAUGCAAUGUUAACUGGGGAGGGGCAGCUAUACACCUACAUGGUUCUUAUCUCUGAGACGACCACCCCUGGGAUCAAUUUGAGAUGGUAUCUUGAUGCAACUGGAAAGAAGAGGUCUAGAGCAUAUGUCAUAAAUGGGGUCGUUAUAUUCUUUGCUUGGCUGGUUGCCAGAAUAAUCCUGUUCAUGUAUCUUUUUUACCAUUUCUACUUGCACUAUGAUCAGGUAAUAACAAUACCUGUAUAUGUUCACCUGGUGAAUAUUGUAUCUGUUGUAAUAUGGCAAGCAUACCUUAUGUUUUAUCUAAAACUAACAUAUAAAAAAGGUUGCACCCAAUGCACAAAGCUCCCACUUUUGCAGGUUUUGGGGGAGGUCAUGGUGGGUAGUCUUACCCUCUAUUUAAUGGAAAGGCUGAUUCCUGGACUUGAAGCCUCGACCUGUUGCUUUUGGUGGAACGAACUUACCUUCGCACCAACGCACUAACAUAUGAGAAGCUUAAUUUGCCAAAUUUUGUUGUAUCUUGUUUUUAAUCAUGUCAGAAAUGAUUGGGUCACAGUCUCCACUUUGUGCAUCAUAAUUAAUGAUUCAUUUUUCACCAAGAUGAUGGAUGAAAGGAAUUAGUCUUUAGGACCGAAGUACUAUUUGGUUUGAUUUUAGGUCCUGACUUUUGAAGACUUUCAUAAUACCAUCAACCAAACAUGUUCAUGCGGAAAAUUACAUAUCAUAAAAUGGGUUAAUAGCAUGGUACUCCAUCACCGAUAGACACAAUAUUUAGUGACAGUUAUUGGUAGAUAAAGAAUGUUUGCAUGGAUCUGUCACAUACAAACUAAAAUUGAUAUCCAGAUAUUUCCAUUUUUUGGUAUCCAUUUGCUUAACUGAAUGGAACUUGGCCAAUAUGCAGAAUCAUUAUGUAUUCAUGUUAUUGUUCUCUCACCAAACAGGUUAAGCAGUUGCGGAGCGUUGGGUUAUUGUUAGUAUCUGUGGUGCCAUUGGUGCUAACUGUCAUGAACUUGAUGUGGUUCGUGAAGAUAGUCAAGGGAUUAAAGAAGACAAUAGCCAAGACGCAGUGAAGGAUACAUCAAUUACUGACAUUUUGACUGCAAACAUGAUUGGAAGGCUUAAACCAUUAUCAUCAUCGGCUUCAGCAUUUUCUCCUCUGUACUUUCCAUUCUCCCACGUGUAAAUGGCAUAGCAGUUAAUAGGCAGUCAUGGUUUAUGAUCAAUGUGAAUAUAGGUUUUUAAUUACCAACUCAGAUAAUUUUCUGCGGAUGAAGUAGCAUGAAAGAAUCUUUGUGAGUUAGAGAGCUCUGUUUGUGUUUGGAAUGUAACUUACUAAGGUAUGGAUCUUUGGUAUGGACCUGGGACUGGGGAGUCUUUUCAGUGGGUCUGCAAAGGUUUGAUGCUUUAUAGUUCAGAAUUUCUUUGUACUUAAGAGCAUCUGCAUAUCAUCUUUUAAAAUUUAAUCAAAUUUUGAAAGAAACUGGGCUUAGAUAUCGUUAGACCAAAUUAAGGGGCCCUUCAUAAAUAAUCAAGCAGCCGAUACUGCAAUUGCACACGACUAAAGUAUACCAAUUUAAGGGGUUCUUUAUCAUUUUUUAGCAAGAGUUUUGCACCUCAA